rnacentral:lncRNA from 1 species
GCCCCCGGCGGCGGCCCCCGCCCUAGCGCCCGGUACUUGCCUGCAGGCGAGCGCCACCACAGUCAGCCCGCGGCUUUUCUGUCUUCCUUUCUGGCCCAGCGAGAGCGCCCAGGGGGUGGGCGUCUUGCCCCGGGCGUCGAGAGUUUGGGGCCGUCCCGUACGCGGCGCGCCGCAACCCAGUCCCCGCGACCACAGCAGCCUGCUCCCCACCGCGCUUGCAGAGCCCGGACGCGCGUGAGUCGGGGGCCCGCAGAGGCCUCACCCUUGGAGGUCGCCGCUUGUCAGGCCUGACUGCUGUUGGCGCCCACCCCGCCGCCCCCGAGGGGCCGCUCGAGGCCGGACUGCUGCUUUGCCGUGGCAGGCCCCACCCGGGACGUGGCGCUGCGGGCCGGGGCGGUCCAGCUGCAAUCCCUACUCCCUGCCAAAGGAGAACCCAGUUACUGAACAUCGGAUGAGACCAUGGAUAGUAAAUUGGGAGUGAAGGUCCAUACCUGGGUCUCAGAAGCACAGUACAGGUUUUUAGAACAAGCCACCUUAUACAAGUUAAAAUUCAUGAAGGAAUGGAUACAGGUUAAGUUACACCAGCCUCCUGAGUAUGACAGCAACAUUCCUUCAGGGAUUAAAGAAAAUGCUUCAGAAGAUUGGAACACUGCUCAGCCUUCCCAACCUUCUUUUACCACUGAUGUUUCUACCUUAGUGAUCUUCCUCCUUAUUUUAAUGCUUCUUUCUCUUUACAAUUAAAAGUUCAUAAAAUCUUUCAACAUUAUUUUUCACUACAAAAGUCUGAAGUUCUCUGUGAAAUGCCUACAUGUAAGAAUUAAGAUAGAUUUUAAAGACUGUCAGUCUCAAAAUUCCAUGCUCAUCAGUUAGUGCAUGAUAUUAAAUUAUGCUUUUUUCCUCCUUUUAAAUAUACCAACAUUAUAUUGCUGAUUUUUUUAUUUACCUGGGUAAGAGCACUGACUCGGUUCUCACUAGGAAACAAAGGUGGGUCUUCUCCAACUUGAAAAUCAAAAUAUACAGUUUUAUGUGUGAAAGUAGAAAAUUCAUUGCUGAAGCAAAAUUUGUAUGUCCCAUUUUUGGAGGCUGUGAAGGUAAAACUAUCAUACUGUUUCUUCAUCUCUUUGUAUAACACUUUACCAUCAGGAUCUUCUAAUCGACAAUCUACAUC